GACGAACCGUGCGAACGUUAUUCGGAAUAACUGGGCUUAAAGGGAGCGUAGGCGGGCUAUCAAGUCUGGGGUGAAAUCCCGCGGCUCAACCGUGGAACUGCCUCAGAUACUGACGGCCUCGAGGGAGAUAGGGGCAUGCGGAACUGUAGGUGGAGCGGUGAAAUGCGUUGAUAUCGGAAGGAACGCCGGUGGCGAAAGCGACACACUGGGUCUCAACUGACGCUGAGGCACGAAAGCCAGGGGAGCGAACGGG
rnacentral:rRNA from 1 species